UGGGAUGUGAGCAAGGAGCUGCUGUCAGUCAUGCUGGGGAAACACCAACCUGAGAGUGAAGCCAACAGAGAUGAAAAAUAGAAAAGAACCCAGUAUUGAUGCUCUCUUAGAUGAAUCAGAAUGUGAGGCGUUAUCUGCAAAUUCUCCUCUCUGCUGGCUACUGCUAAGAAAGGAGAAAAGAGGAUGGACAUGAGGGGAAGCCAACUGCUAUGCUUGAUUGAGGACACUCAAGCAGCCUAUAGACAGGCCCAUGUGGUGAAGAACUAUAACAACCAGAACUAACUUCCCAGCCAUGUGCAUGAACUAUUUUGGAAAUGGAUUCUGCAGCCCCUGUCUGGCCUUCAGAUGAUUUCUGGAAUAUGAGAGACCCUGAGCCAUGACUACUCAGCUAAGCUACCCCUGGAUUCCUGACCCAC